rnacentral:rRNA from 1 species
GACGAACGCUGGCGGCGUGCUUAACACAUGCAAGUCGAACGAUGACGCCCGAGCUUGCUCGGUCUGAUUAGUGGCGAACGGGUGAGUAACACGUGAGCAACCUGCCCUUCACUCUGGGAUAACCUCGGGAAAUCGGGGCUAAUACCGGAUAUGAGCUCCUGUCGCAUGGCGGGUGUUGGAAAGUUUUUCGGUGCAGGAUGGGCUCGCGGCCUAUCAGUUUGUUGGUGUGGUAGUGGCUCACCACGGCGAUGACGGGUAGCCGGCCUGAGAGGGCGACCGGCCACACUGGGACUGGGAGACGGCCCAGACUCCUACGGGAGGCAGCAGUGGGGAAUAUUGCACAAUGGGCGAAAGCCUGAUGCAGCGACGCCGCGUGAGGGAUGACGGCCUUCGGGGUGUAAACCUCUUUCAGCAGGGAAGAAGCGAAAGUGACGGUACCUGCAGAAGAAGCGCCGGCUAACUACGUG